rnacentral:rRNA from 1 species
UACGUAGGUGGCAAGCGUUGUCCGGAUUUACUGGGCGUAAAGAGCGCGCAGGCGGUCGUUCAAGUCGCGUGUGAAAGCCCCCGGCUCAACUGGGGAGGGUCACGCGAUACUGAUCGACUCGAAGGCAGGAGAGGGUAGUGGAAUUCCCGGUGUAGUGGUGAAAUACGUAGAGAUUGGGAAGAACACCAGUGGCGAAGGCGGCUAUCUGGACGGUUUCUGACACUAAGACUCGAAAGCGUGGGGAGCAAACAGG